GUGCACCAGGCGAGAAACUUUACAAUGUGCGAAAGCACGAUAAGGGAACUCUGAGUGCCUCCUAAGGAGGCUGUUCAGGUGUCUAAAAGCACCUGGAGUAAGGGCUGGGUAAGACCGGUGCCAGCCGCCGCGGUAACACCGGCAGCCCAGGUGGUAGCCACUUUUAUUGGGUCUAAAGCGUCCGUAGCCGGUUGAGUAAGUUCCUUGGGAAAUUUGGCUGCUCAACAGUCAAGCUUCCAGGGAAUACUGCUCGACUUGGGACUGGGAGAGGUCAGAGGUACUCCAGGGGUAGGGUGAAAUCCAUUAAUCCCUGGGGGACCACCGGUAGCGAAGGCGUCUGACCAGACCAGGUCCGACGGUGAGGGACGAAGGCUAGGGUCGCGAACCGGAUUAGAUA
rnacentral:rRNA from 1 species